UACGAAGGGUGCAAGCGUUACUCGGAAUUACUGGGCGUAAAGCGUGCGUAGGCGGUUUGUUAAGUCUGAUGUGAAAGCCCUGGGCUCAACCUGGGAAUGGCAUUGGAUACUGGCAACCUAGAAUGUGAUAGAGGGUGGCGGAAUUCCCGGUGUAGCAGUGAAAUGCGUAGAUAUCGGGAGGAACAUCCGUGGCGAAGGCGGCCACCUGGACCAACAUUGACGCUGAGGCACGAAAGCGUGGGGAGCAAACAGG
rnacentral:rRNA from 1 species